AUACGUUUUUGGAUAACUGAAAUGCCUUGACAGUACAAACAGCACUAACGUUAGCAAGCUAGUGAGCGGAUAACUUAACAUAUUGUUUUGCGUGAUAGCUUUAUUCAACUCUCAUUUGAACAUUUGAUCUCUUCUAAUAUAUAUUUUUUUUUUGUUGCUGUGUUGCAAUUAUGUGUGUAUUGUGUAAUUUUGGUAUUUCUGAUGCCUUGCCACACUGACAAGCGCUAAUAAGAAAACUAUGUCUAGAUGUUAUUAUUCCCUCUGGGAAAAUGGAAGAAAACACUUAUAAACGCUAGAAUUGCAAAGCGGAAGUGGUCCGCGAGUGAAUUUUGCGUAAUGAGUGACAGGAGAACGAACUAAAGAGAAAGAGAAAUGGCGCCUCAAUGCCAUUCUUACUGAGGCAGAGUACAGACGGAUAGACAGAUUAAACAAGUGAAAAUAAACGGACAAAUCAUGGUGAACACAAGAAAGAACUCUCGGCAUAAGCCGAGCAGUCCCUUCAUCUCGUCCAGGACCCGGUCUUCUGCCAGAAAUCCCUCCAACUCUGAAGAACAUAAGGAUCCCAGUAGUGAUGUGAGCAGUCCCAGCAGUCCUGGACUGUCCCCUCCCUUGAAGCGAACCCGUAGACAGACCAGCUCCAGCGACACCUCUCCCUCCCCCCAGGCCAAGGGCCAGAGGGUCUCCUGGGGCAAGCCCACCUACCGCACCAGGUUGUCAUCUGGCGCCCUGCAAAAUGGAAAUGCCCAUAAGGAGGAGGGGGCAGGAGACCACUCUCACAUGAAUGGCCAUGUUGACCGGAAGAGGAGCUGCCAAGUGAGGAAGAGCCAGUUUGAACACCUCAACCAGAGCCUGCUGUUUGACCAGCUCGUCAACAGCACGGCGGAGGCAGUUCUUCAGGAGAUGGACAACAUCAGCAGCAUCAGACAGAACAGGGAGGUGGAGAGACUCCGCAUGUGGACAGACACUGAGGUGGAAAACAUGGACAUGUACUCUCGUGUGAAGAGGAGGAAGGCACUGCGCAGGAACACCUUUGGCAUGCAGACACACCACAAAGCCAUGAGCAAGACAGAAUCGGAAGAGGGGACUGAAGAAUCUCACGGUGAAGAAGAGGAUGACGAAGCAGAGGAGGAGGAGGAGGAGGAGGAUGAUGAUGAUGAUGAAAGAGACGAGACCGAGGAGGCUGGAGAGGGGAACGACAGACCGUACAACCUGAGACAACGCAAGACCGUACAGAGAUACGAGGCGCCACCUAUUGAGCCUGUCAACAGAAAACAAACCAACCCCUCCCUGUUUGACACCCACAGAUCCCCAGCAAGGAGAAGCCAUAUACGAGUGAAGAAGCAUGCCAUCCACAGUAGCGACACUACGUCGUCAUCUGACGAAGAGAGAUUUGAGAGGAGGAAAAGCAAAAGCAUGACCCGGGCCAGGAACAGGUGUCUGCCUUUGAGCCUGAGAGCAGAGGACCUGGCCAGUGGGGUGCUGAGAGACAGGGCCAAGGUGGGAGCUAGCCUCGCUGAUGUGGACCCCAUGAAUCUGGACACCUCAGUGAAGUUUGACAGCGUAGGAGGGCUCUCCAACCACAUCCAGUCUCUGAAGGAGAUGGUGGUCUUCCCUCUACUUUACCCAGAGGUCUUCGAAAGGUUCAAGAUACAGCCCCCAAGAGGGUGUCUUUUCUACGGCCCACCAGGUACAGGGAAGACCCUUGUAGCGCGGGCUUUGGCCAACGAGUGUAGUCAAGGAGACAAAAAGGUGUCUUUCUUCAUGAGGAAGGGAGCCGACUGCCUCAGCAAGUGGGUCGGCGAAUCUGAACGACAGCUACGCCUACUUUUUGACCAGGCGUACCUGAUGAGGCCCUCCAUAAUCUUCUUUGAUGAAAUAGACGGGCUGGCCCCAGUGCGUUCCAGCAGACAGGACCAGAUACACAGCUCCAUAGUGUCCACUCUGCUGGCGUUGAUGGAUGGUCUGGACAGCCGAGGGGAAAUCGUGGUGAUCGGUGCUACCAAUAGGCUGGACUCCAUAGACCCUGCUCUACGGAGACCUGGACGCUUUGACAGGGAGUUCCUCUUCAACCUGCCUGACAGGAAGGCCCGAAGACAAAUCCUUGAGAUCCACACGCGGGACUGGAAUCCUAGACUAGCUGAACAGUUUGUAAAUGAGCUGGCUGAGAAAUGUGUCGGUUACUGUGGCGCAGACAUCAAAGCACUUUGCACAGAGGCGGCCCUGGUGGCACUGCGGCGUUGCUACCCCCAGAUCUACGGCAGCAGUGUUAAGCUGCAGCUGGACGUCAGUACCAUCGUGCUGGAGCCUGGGGACUUCAGCCACGCUCUGCGGACCAUCGUCCCAGCUUCCCAGAGAGCCCAGGCUCCUCCAGGCCGAGCCCUGGCCCCCAACAUACGCCCCCUACUAGCCAACACACUGGCCACGGUGCUGGAGGUCCUGCUCCGAGUCUUCCCCCAUGCAGAAACACGGCACGGGGAGAGUAGAGGAGAUGUUGACAAUCACCUGCUAGAGGAGGUCAGUGAAGAGGAGACUGAUGGAGCAGCUCCCUCCAUCUACAACCUCCAGCCGGGAUCCCCAAAGACACACACACACCCCUCUAUGGCACACACACCCGUCCUACACUUCACCAUAUCAGCCCUUCACCAGCCCACGUCGUACCGGCCUCGCCUGCUGCUGGCGGGUCCCCCCGGUUCGGGACAGAGUUCUCACCUGGCCCCUGCUGUGUUACACCACCUGGACAAGCUGUCUGUCCACCUCCUAGACUUGCCCACACUCUACUCUGUCAGCGCCAAGACACCCGAGGAGUCCUGCGCUCAGGUGUUCCGUGAGGCGUGUCGGAGCGUGCCCAGUGUGGUGUUCAUGCCCCACAUCUGUGAUUGGUGGGAUUCGGUCAGCGACACGGUGAAGAACACCUUCUUCUCUCUACUCCAGGACGUCCCCUCUUUCACCCCCCUCCUCAUCCUCGCCACCACAGAGACGUGCUACACACAGCUACCACAGGAGGUGAAGUUGAUGUUCCAGACGACGUACGGGGAGGUGGUCAGUCUGUCUUCACCUGGAGAGGAGGACAGACGAAGGUUCUUCAUGGACCUGCUACUGGUACAGGCUGCUCGAGUGCCAUCCCACAGGAGACACAAAGCCCUGCUGUGUGAGGAGGUGCUUCCGGUAGCGGAGGUCCCUGGCCCCAGGGUUCUCUCCCCUGAGGAACAGCUUCGCCUGGCCGACCAGGAGGAGAACACUCUGAGAGAACUGCGUCUGUUCCUCAGGGACGUCACCAAGCGCCUCGCCAUAGACAAACGCUUCAACAUCUUCAGCAAACCUGUUGACAUUGAGGAGGUGUCAGACUACCUGGAGGUAAUUAUUCAGCCUAUGGAUCUAUCUACGGUCAUGACCAAGAUCGACACCCAUAAAUACCUGACGGCCAAGAACUUCUUGGUGGACAUAGACCUCAUCUGCAGCAAUGCCCUGGAGUACAACCCUGACAAGGAGCCCUCAGAUAAGAUCAUCCGCCACAGAGCGUGCAGUCUGAAGGACACGGCGCAUGCCAUGCUGGCCUCGGAGCUCGACCCAGAGUUCAACCGCAUGUGUGAGAAAAUCAAGUCACGCAGGAAGAGGGACCUCCAGAUUCUGGAUGUGCCUCCUGUCUCCCUGGCUGCCGUGGUAACCACCAGGAAGCCGGCCGGAGAGGAGAACACUGGGAGCAGUGUCGACAAGCACCACUGCAUCAGCAGCAAUCACAUAAAAAGGAAAGCACGUCGGCGGCCAUCUUGGGGGCGGGGCAUCAUUAGGAAGAAGAAGAACUACAAGAAGGGAACGGAGGAAGAGGAGGAUGAAGGUGCGGAGCCUAAGCCGGAAACGGCAGUACCCAGCGACUCCUGUCUGACUCAGGACGAAGAGUCUUCCUGUGACACCAUGGACCCUCAGCCCAACGGACACCACACACACCCUCACACAUAUGGCAUCUCCACGGAGGAGGAGAGCUCCAAUGAGGCCCCUAGGGGCCAGAGAACAGAGACAGGGCCCAAGGAGGACGAGACACCAACUACAGAAGACCAAGCCAAAUCUACAUCUACAGACAAAGACCCCCAGUCUAAAAGUGAGUCUUAUUGUAAAAACAAGGAGCCUCAAGCUCAGGAGAUCCAGUCUAAAGGUGAGGGGUCAUCAUCUAAAGAUGAAGGUUCCCAAGCUGAAAGUGAGAACCCCCAAGCCAAGCCUAAAGAGGAAGGUUUCCAGCCCAUGGAUGUUGAGAAGGUCCAGCCUAAAGAUGACGAGGUCCAGUCCAAGACUGAGCAGCAGUCGUCAUUCCCCACGCCGGCCACAGUCCCUCGGGAGUGUGUGAACGGGAAUGAGUCCAUGGAUAGCCUGGAUUCCCAGGCCCACAAGAGCUCUGAGACAGAGUGGCCUACAGCGGUCGAAGGUGAAGCGUCAGAGGGGGAAGUGUCGGCGUCUGCAGUGAGCACAGGAACUCAGGAACGCCGUCUUCAGGACGGGAGGACAGGAGACACGGAGACGGGCAAGGAGGAGCAGGACAGAGAAGGCUGCUCCAAGGGGAGGAAGUGCAGAAUGAGACAAUCAGAGCAGUCAAAGGCAUCAACUGACGGGACAGAGGAGAGUCCACAGACCCCUCCACCACCUACACUAGUGGUCGAUCAACAUCGACUCACGGCCCUCUUGGACACAGUGGUACAGAGGAGUGAAGGCUACAGCGUGGAACGCUUGGAGAGACUCUUCUCUCUCCUCAGUCAGUGCAUCUACCAACACCGACUGGACUACGACAAGACACGGCUACAGGAGAUGCAGUGUGAAUGGGUUGACAACACUGAGUAUACCAAACAUUAGGAACACCUUCCUAAUCGUGGGUAAAAUCGCAGAACAGCCUCAGUUUGUCGGGGAGAUGGAGAGGAAAGUCCAGAAUUUCAUUACAUUCCUGUGAGACAGCCAGGUUUACCCUGAACACACACACUCAAGCGGGACAGAGACAAGCCUUUGAGCCAAGUACUUACACACAGAGCAAAUAUAGAGCCCUGGUCUUAACAUGAACGACAGAACGGGAAGACUUUUCUAUGGUGCUAUAGUCUCAGGUACCCUGGUCGGACCCAAAUCCAGUCAACAACCAAACAGACUCCUGGACACGUACACACGAACGGUGAAACGGACAUUCCUGGUGCUAUUCAGGUGCUAUCCUAAUCCUUGCUGCUGUUGGGAGUAACUUGGAAACUAACCAACAAAACAGAUUGGGUGAUGUCAUAUCUCAACGACGGCCUACUUUUAAACUGGGCACACAGUAAUCCCAUUCACAGAUUGUCACCAGCAGUGUGCGUAUGUGCAGUUAGCUUGGAGGUUGAGACAGUCUCCUGUCUUGUCACCAUUGCUGAGCCCAUGUCAUCUCUCAGUACGCUAGUGAAUCAAGAUUAUAGGCCAGUCAUCUCAUAGAUACAACAGCUUACAGAUCAUACUGAGUCAUUAAAACAGUUUGGUUUGAAUAGCCUCUGGAUCUAAUCAAUUAUGAUUUUUUUUUAUUUUAUAACCACCGUUCUCGCUCCAAACAUUGUCCAAUGUACAUUGAAAUGUUUUUAACAUGACCAUACUGUAGGGUAAAGUUGGCACUGCUGGGCUAGAAUCAAUUUCCAGCAUGUACAUGCGUUACAAAAACAUCAAAUCCCCAUUAAUAAGGGUGUUACUGAAAUGCAUCAAUGGGAACUGAGGAAGCAUUUGUUCGAGGUUUGCAGUGAACAUCAAAAUAACAUUCAUUGCUAUGACUGAUAAGUAUUGUCAAACAGAUUGAUGUGCUGCAUCACAGUUCUGUGUAAAAAACACACAAGCUGUGCCCUGCUAAUUUUUAUUUCCUGUCAAUCCACACCUAACUGGAGUAACUCAAAUUAAAUUGGACACCUUUUGUAAUUCGCACUGCCUAGCAUGUGCUUUAUUUUACCCCCAAUUAACUUUCCUAAAGAACAGCUGUUAAGGUUUUUAUCAACUGCUCUGUUCCAUGUAAUGCUGGAUGUAGAAGUUCCCCUUAACUAACCACGUAUCUAGGAUUAAAUGACCAAACUCUCAAGCCUAACUUUAACCUUGACAAUGGUGUUAUUAAUCUGACCCAGGACCAGUGGAUAGAAGUCUACAGUAGGAAAGCAGAUCUGUCUUUUCCUGCCCACAUGAGUAGAAAGUAAUAAUAAAAUACAUUUUAUGUCAACGGAUGCCACAAAUUAGUCACAGCAAAAGUGGUGCCAAGUUUCCGUGACAGUUUUUAGUCGACAUUCAUAGGAAAUAAAUCUUAACUCUAUAAAGAUUUAGAUAAGGAACUUACGGUUGGCUAUGUAUUAUGUUGUGCAUUUGAUUCAGAAAAAAAAAUAAAAUUAUAUUGUAUGAUACAUUGGAAACAAUGUUUUGAAUUGUUUGUGACGCUUCUGACCAUGAACAAGGCCAUUCAAGGCAGUGCUCUGUUGAGGUAUAAAACAGCAUUCUAUCGUUUGAAUUAUUUUGUUGAUGCUUUUUAUUGUCUGUCUAGUAGGAGGGGUGUAAUUAGCUAUAGCCAGCCCAUCCAUGUUCACCUUGUGGUAAAGAAAUGCAUUUUUGUUUUUCAACUUUUUCUGGUCUUUCCUUGGCCAUAGAUGGAUCCAUGUUUUGACGAGAUGUGGCCAGCCUCAGUCUUUUACAUUCACAGUUAAAAGGGGGACUCCGAUAUGACAUGGUUGCAGAAAGUACACCGCAACAACUAAAAGUGUUAUAGCACAAGGCUCAUCUUCUCCACUGUUUUGGUGCUGUGAAGCAGAUACUGUGUGUGAGCGAAGUCUUGCGUCUCACUCAUCUCAAUAUCUGCGACAGUGAAAUUUGUCUGUCUACCUUUUAAUGCCAGGGUUCUUCAGGUCCUGGAGAACUACUAGGCAUGCAGGCUUUUGUUCCAACCAAAUCGUCAUGGUGUUCCUCAGGCUUGACUACGAUUGGGCAGUAACAGAAUCCCGUAUGCCUCGUACUUCUCCAGGAUUGGAGAGCCCUGCUUUUAUGCUGAUCCUAACUCCAUCUGCCUUCUCUUGGAGUGCCAGGUGAAGAUUUAACAAUUAAAAUAAACAUAUGCAAACUGGCAUUGGAAUACUGCAGAGAUAGAGAAACAAAGCUACCUCAGCUUAAUUUAUUUUAAUGCUAAUAAGACAAACUGUUUACCGGGUGCAAACAGUAUUUUGCCAUGUUCUAAACUAUUGUCGCAACACUCGGUACAGCUAAGGUACUGGAUAAUCAGUUCUGUGGCUGCUUCGGUAACCCAACAGUUUGUUUGGUUGGUUCUCACCUUGUUCAGUUUUUUUGUCUAUUGCAUUUGAGCCGAGACGAAACAUACAGCAUUUAAUUUCAAGGGAAUGUCAAACUGUAUAUUUCAGUUCUGUAGACCGAGACGUCCUAAGAUUGCUUUCCUUUCAGAUCGUACUACUACACAUAUUCGCUAGUGUUGUCCAUCAAGCCACAAUCUCCUUUUUUUUCAUUUGAGGGUAAUUGUUUUUGUAGACUUGAAUCUCCUUCUCGUGGUGAUUUAAAUUUGUAUUUUAUUUAUUAAUAAUUAGACAUGUUUUUACGUCUAUCCAUUAAACAAAUUGGCAAUAGUUGUUACUCGGUUAUGAGUUUAGUGCUGAAGUGAGGUAGCGGACUAGCGUGUAUUGGAGAAUAAAGAAGUUUACAGGUGUCUCAGGUUUCUUCAGGCUACACAUGACCUUUCAACUUUCCUAUUUAUUCCAUUGUGGUGUUUGUUUUUCUUUAGUUUUGUGGUUGUGGACUGUGGUAUACCUGGAUGAGGCUAACGUUGACUUAAUGGAAUUUUUACAUCAAAACAAUAGUGUGUAUCUUAUUCACGUUGCUGACACAAUUUGGCAAGCAUCUGUCAAAGUUUGUCAGCAAUUUUUGUCCCUUAAGAAUUGGGUUUCAAAGUGUCAUACAUUUUUUUUCAUCCUCUCCUUGUUCUUUUCUUUACAAACAACCAAUUUUUGUCUGGUAGUUAAAGAUUAUUUAGUCCAGUAUGCACAAUUUUCCAUCACUACUUACUGAGUUUCUCGUGGGAUUUAUUUAGUAGAUUUUGUUUUCGUAGCCUCACCAUGUUUAAUGAACAUCCUCUUCCCCAUCAAAUGUUACUUUGGUGCAAGUUAUUUGAGAGAAACUUUUACUGUAUUUCUAAAAACUGCUGUGAUAUACUUGAAUAAAGGUGCAAAUUGUACUUUG